GAAAUGCGAUAAGUAAUGUGAAUUGCAGAAUUCCGUGAAUCAUCGAAUCUUUGAACGCACAUUGCGCCCUCUGGUAUUCCGGGGGGCAUGCCUGUCCGAGCGUCAUUGCGAACCCCUCAAGCACGGCUUGUGUGAUGGGCCCUCCCGCGUCUUGGUCGUCAAGACGGGCCCGAAAUGCAGUGGCGGCUUCGCGGUUAUCCGAUCAGCCAGAGCGUAUGGGGACUCUCUCUCUCUUGUCACACGCCCGCGGCGCGGACCGACGCCUGUCGACCUUUAUUCAUCUUCUCUCGGUUGACCUCGGAUCAGGUAGGGAUACCCGCUGAACUUAAGC
rnacentral:misc_RNA from 1 species